AAUAAGUGCAGAUUUGCACUAUUUAUUUCUAACGUUUGACUAUUUUAUUUAAUUUUUUUUAUGAUUUGUAUUUUUUUUGAUAUUAGAUGAUAAAUCAUGAAUAGAACUUUAUCUGUGACUAUUUUUUUUAUUUUUUUUAUAAAUUUUUAAAUAAGACGAACGAUCAAAACACCGGAUACGGAUAUUUACGGCUAUACUUAUU
rnacentral:pre_miRNA from 1 species